rnacentral:rRNA from 1 species
GAUGAACGCUAGCGGCAGGCUUAAUACAUGCAAGUCGUGGGGCAGCAGGACUGUAGCAAUCCAGUUGCUGGCGACCGGCAAACGGGUGCGGAACACGUACGCAACUUACCCUGAACUGGGGGAUGGCCCGGGGAAACCCGGAUAAAUACCCCGUAAUAUAAGGGAUGGCCAUCCCUUCAUUAUUAAAGCUCGGUGGUUUCGGGAUGGCCUUGCGGCGGUUUAGUCUGUUGGUUGAGGUAACGGCUCACCAAGCCGACGACCAGUAACGGUUGUGAGAGCACGACCAGUCACACGGGCACUGGGACACGGGCCCGACUCCUACGGGAGGCAGCAGUAAGGAAUAGUGGGCAAUGGAGGCAACUCUGACCCAGCCAUGCCGCGUGGAGGAUGAAGGCCCUCUGGGUGGUAAACUUCUUUUAGAGGGGAAGAAACCUGUGUAUUCUUACGCAGUUGACGGUACCCUAGGAAUAAGCACCGGCUAACUCCGUG